rnacentral:rRNA from 1 species
UACAGAGGGGGCAAGCGUUGUUCGGAAUUACUGGGCGUAAAGGGCGCGUAGGCGGCCUUCUAAGUCGAACGUGAAAUCUCCGGGCUUAACCCGGAAAGGUCAGCCGAUACUGCGGGGCUAGAGUGCAGAAGGGGGGCAACUGGAAUUCUCGGUGUAGCGGUGAAAUGCGUAGAUAUCGAGAGGAACACCUGCGGCGAAGGCGGGUUGCUGGGCUGACACUGACGCUGAGGCGCGAAAGCUAGGGGGAGCGAACGGG